rnacentral:rRNA from 1 species
CGCCCUACGGGAGGCAGCAGUGGGGGAUAUUGCACAAUGGGGGGAACCCUGAUGCAGCGACGCCGCGUGGGUGAAGGAGCGUUUCGGCGCGUAAAGCCCUAUCGGCAGGGAAGAAGAAUGACGGUACCUGACUAAGAAGCACCGGCUAAAUACGUGCCAGCAGCCGCGGUAAUACGUAUGGUGCAAGCGUUAUCCGGAUUUACUGGGUGUAAAGGGAGCGCAGGCGGCACGCUAAGCCUGAUGUGAAAACCCGCGGCCCAACCGCGGGAGUGCAUUGGGAACUGGCGAGCGAGAGUACCGGAGGG